rnacentral:rRNA from 1 species
AACGAACGCUGGCGGCAUGCCUAACACAUGCAAGUCGAACGAGACCUUCGGGUCUAGUGGCGCACGGGUGCGUAACGCGUGGGAACCUGCCCUUAGGUUCGGAAUAACUCCCCGAAAGGGGUGCUAAUAACGGAUAAUGUCUUCGGACCAAAGAUUUAUCGCCUUUGGGUGGGCCCGCGUUGGAUUAGCUGGUUGGUAGGGUAAAAGCCUACCAAGGCGACGAUCCAUAGCUGGUCUGAGAGGAUGAUCAGCCACACUGGGACUGAGACACGGCCCAGACUCCUACGGGAGGCAGCAGUGGGGAAUAUUGGACGAUGGGCGAAAGCCUGAUCCAGCAAUGCCGCGUGAGUGAGGAAGGCCUUAGGGUUGUAAAGCUCUUUUACCCGGGAUGAUAAUGACAGUACCGGGAGAAUAAGCUCCGGCUAACUCCGUG